rnacentral:rRNA from 1 species
CUUUACUGUAGCCUGGAAUUGGGUCCGGGCUUCGCUUGCGCAGGAUAGGUGGGAGACUAUGAAGCUGCCCUUGUGGGGGCAGUGGAGUCAUCAGUGAGAUACCACUCUGUCAAGGCUAGAAUUCUAACCGUCUGCCGUUAUCCGGCGACGGAACAGUAUCAGGUGGGCAGUUUGACUGGGGCGGUCGCCUCCUAAAUGGUAACGGAGGCGCGCAAAGGUUCCCUCAGGCUGGUUGGAAAUCAGCCGAAGAGUGUAAAGGCAGAAGGGAGCUUGACUGCAAGAGCAACAACUCAAGCAGGGACGAAAGUCGGCCUUAGUGAUCCGACGGCGCUGAGUGGAAGGGCCGUCGCUCAACGGAUAAAAGUUA